rnacentral:rRNA from 1 species
UACGUAGGGUGCAAGCGUUGUCCGGAAUUAUUGGGCGUAAAGAGCUCGUAGGCGGUUUGUUGCGUCGGCUGUGAAAUCCCGAGGCUCAACCUCGGGUCUGCAGUCGAUACGAGCAAACUAGAGUGUUGCAGGGGAGACUGGAAUUCCUGGUGUAGCGGUGAAAUGCGCAGAUAUCAGGAGGAACACCGGUGGCGAAGGCGGGUCUCUGGGCCGUAACUGACGCUGAGGAGCGAAAGCGUGGAGAGCGAACAGG